GACAGUGGGCGGGACUAAGGGGGCCACCUGCAGACACACCCUGGCUUCGGGACCUUCUUCCUUCUCUUCCCCCUCGGGGCCUAGAGGAGGCCACGCGCGGGGUCUCCGAGCUCUAGGGUCCGGAGCUCUAGGGUCCUUUUAUGUAGCAAAGUCAGGCCUGGGAACAGAACUUCAUGUGCUUGUAAAAAGUCUCAGGUGCGUCCUCGUUGUUUUAGAGACUUGGAGAGGAAUGGGGGCGGGGGGAACAAAAUCCGAGGACAGUCGAGCCAAGAAAAGUCGGGGCUUCUAGGAUGCCAACCACGCCAAACAGAUCAAAACCAGGACUGGAGGACUGAAGAUGAAGCCGGCAAAAAGUCACCAGCCACGGCUCUUGUAAGGUAUGCUUCACCUCUCCUGCUAAGUCUUCAUCCCUGUCUAUGAGGACAAAGAAGUUACGGGUUAAAUUGGCGAUGGGCCAGGCGCUCCUUGAGGAUGCUCUAAAGUUCCAGGGAAUCUGAUGCCUUCUUCUAACCAUCACGAAGACAAGUUGGUGAUAGAAAAUGGGAGAACUGAAGACAACCACUUUAUAAAACCCUUGCCUGCUUGAAUUUGUGGUGAUG
ensembl:processed_transcript